GUGAAGAACGCAGCGAAAUGCGAUAAGUAAUGUGAAUUGCAGAAUUCAGUGAAUCAUCGAAUCUUUGAACGCACCUUGCACUCCUUGGUAUUCCGAGGAGUACGCCUGUUCGAGUGUUAUGAAGCUCUCAAAACGCAAUUGGCUUAAAACCUGAUUGUUGUUUUGGAUUUGAACUUUGCCGUGUUAUAACGGCUGGUUUUAAAAGUAUUAGCUGGUACUAGAACGAAUUGGUUCUACUCAACGUGAUAAUUAUCUGAUCGUUGAGGACAUUCCUUUCACGAGGAAUGGCCAUAGUAAAUUCAAUGGACUGCUUCUAAUCUGGCUUUAAUUCUUUAUUGGAUUAACCACUUUUCAAAUCUGACCUCGAAUCAGGUGGGACUACCCGCUGAACUUAAGCAUAUCAAUAAGCGGAGGA
rnacentral:misc_RNA from 1 species